UUGUCCUCCACGCGCACCUCCCUGGCCGAAACGACGGCGCCCCCCUGCUCCGCCCCGAGGAAGAGAGAGGCGCAACCAAAAAGCGCUCUCGCCGCCCGCCUCCUUCCUCCCGCCGGCCGCCGUUUCUCGCCGCCGCGCCGCCAACGCCCUGCUCUAACCCCGCGCGUGAUCACGUGGAUUUAUGUUCAAGCAUGUUGACGUUCUGCAAUGUUAUUGUUCGCCUGUUCGAAAUCAAGGGUAAUCGAUAGCUUGGUAUAGAUCAUGGUGCUAUUGUGUUUGACAAGUUAUGAAAGGCUAAGGACACCUUUUUGUAUGUCAGGAGUACCUUUCAAAGUAUCGACGAUAUGCGCUGAGGUGUUGCUUAGUGAGACAUUGUUGGAGAUAUUCUAGAUCGUCCCUAAGUUUUUAAAGAGACGCCGUCGAUGAGCAAGAUGACUUCCCUGUCCUGGGUGAACGUUUGUGAUUUACAUAGAAGGCCCGCAAGCAUGAUCCUUAAACUGCUGGUACGCUAAUGAGAAGAUGGCCUUGAUGUGCCGGGACUCGUGCUCCCGAACAUAGCAGCCAGCCUAUGAAGGAGGAAACUGCAGCAGCACUCUUCACAAGGCCUAUUGACUCAUCCUCACCGUCACCAUCACCAGCAUAAUGUGUCAAAGAGAUGCAUCCAAUAAUACAGCUCAUACGUCCAAGAAGACACAGGAUAUAAACAAAGCGAACUAAAGUGCAUAUGCCAUAUAAGUUGAAACGGCAUGGAAAGGGACUGCUUGCUCCUGCUCCUCCCAUGGCGAAUGACCACGACCCCCCAGGGCAGCAUUCAGUCUACUUCUACGUCACGAGUGUUCCAUGCAGGGUAAAGCACACACACGGUUGGGGGAGGCGGCCAUGUCCACCUUUCUUCUGCUGCUAAUUAAAACUCAUCUUUGUUAGCUGCUGCUGCUGCUGCUGUUCGUUCGUGCAUGUGCACCUCGUUUUUCCCCCACCUGCAAGAAGAUUUUAUGUGUCAGACCCAAGAAUUGUCCUCUAUCUCCGUUGCUUUUCAGGUAAGUCACUGGAUCACUUCUAUGUGGGGGAAAAGCCAUCGGCAAUCAAUCAUCACAGUUGGGGUCCUGGGGAGAAAGAGGUGGCACCAGAUGUUCGUAUUCCAGGACAGAGGGCAUCUCCCUUUUGUUUACCCGGAGCAGCAAGCUGCUAGCUAGCAAUUUCCAAUCAGAAAUCUUUGCUUCUCCAAUCCCGGACAGAGCACGUUGCCGCCGCUGAACCUGUCCGCGAUCAGUGAAGAACCGGGCUUUCUAUAAUGACACAGGUUUUUGGAGCAAUUAGCACAUCCCCGCUUGCUUCGUAUCGCAACGAUUAAAACCGACCGGUGCGUGUGCGUGCCCGUGGGGGUUAAUGUCACCAUCUGUUCUUCCUCCAUGCAGGACUUGCAGUUGGGCCGAGAUAAACCGACUUUUAGCUUUUCUUCUCCAGCACCUUGAGGCAGGUGGAGAAAGCUCGCUCACUGGUACACUCCAGGCGACCAUGCUGUCAUGGUGCAUGCAUUAUCUAGAAGGGGUGGAAGAUAAGGGACGGCAGCGGCGUGGCGAUUAGCAAGGCUGGCAUUAGAAGAUCACGGGGGUAGGGCGAGUUUGACGAAUGAGCGGGAGGCAUCUUUUCCGGGGUCCCCAACAGGACAUAGGUCCACCCCCUCCCUUCCUACAGCACCACACAGGCACAGGCCCAAGGUUUUGCAGGUUUGUGACCGUGCUCAAUCCGACGGCACUCUUGCCAUUUUCCCUUCUGAUGCACUUGGAAGAAACGGUAUCUAUUGCGUGAAGUGGAUGCGUUUUGGGAUAUGUGACAACACAUGGACAAUUUCCACAUGCACGCCCACUUCUCCACCGAUCCAGUGGCCAGCAGUUAGAAUCACCUUUUUAAUCAACUAUAAAUUGUUCGUCAAGACUACACCAGGAUUGCCCAACCAUUUGUAGCUCUAGCUUACCUCCCUAAUGUAGUCUAUCCAGGAUUAAAAAAUGUAAUUAAGGACGAGAUCCAUGCAUGGCUCUCUCGCCGUCGUCCUUUUCAUGGCAAACAAAUGGCCUAUAUCAAUUUGCUUUCAUGCAGUAUUCUGGAGAAUUUGCUUUCAUGCGAUUGGCAUCACUUUCUCCAGCCUAGUAUAUCCAUGUUGCUUGAAAAGUGCCCGCGUCCGACCUUAAAUUCUAUUCUAGUCUCUUUCUUUCUCCCUUCACUCUCAACGAGAGA